GAGUUUGAUCCUGGCUCAGAUUGAACGCUGGCGGCAUGCCUUACACAUGCAAGUCGAACGGCAGCACGGGAGCUUGCUCCUGGUGGCGAGUGGCGAACGGGUGAGUAAUGCAUCGGAACGUAUCCUGGAGUGGGGGAUAACGUAGCGAAAGUUACGCUAAUACCGCAUAUUCUGUGAGCAGGAAAGCGGGGGACCUUCGGGCCUCGCGCUCUUGGAGCGGCCGAUGUCGGAUUAGCUAGUUGGUGAGGUAAAGGCUCACCAAGGCGACGAUCCGUAGCAGGUCUGAGAGGAUGAUCUGCCACACUGGAACUGAGACACGGUCCAGACUCCUACGGAGGCAGCAGUGGGAAUUUUGGUACAAUGGGGCAACCCUGAUCCAGCCAUGCCGCGUGAGUGAAGAAGGCCUCGGUUGUAAGUA
rnacentral:rRNA from 1 species